UUUAUCUUUCAUCCUGAAGACCCACAGUGCCUUAUCUACUGUGUCAACAGACCUCGGCCUGGACUGCCGUGACGCCUUUGGGGUGCGGGCGCGCCGCAGCCAGCCAGGACGGAGCCUGGAGGCGCAAGAGGAAGGAGGAUACCGCCAUAGGGCACCUGGGGGUCAAAUGAGAAGCACUGCUGUGAAAAACGUCAGUGGCUGGCUGUCCAUAAAAGGCUAUAAAUUAGCCCUUUACAAUUUUGGAAAUUCA
rnacentral:lncRNA from 1 species